rnacentral:tRNA from 1 species
ACCUGGAUAGCUCAGUUGGUAGAGCAUCAGGCCUUUAAUCCAAGGGUCCAGGGUUCAAGUUCCUGUUUAGGUA